GAUGAACGCUAGCUACAGGCUUAACACAUGCAAGUCGCGGGGCAGCAUGGGGGUUGCUUGCAAUCCCCGAUGGCGACCGGCGCACGGGUGAGUAACGCGUAUCCAACCUGCCCUUCACCACGGGAUAACCCGGCGAAAGUCGGACUAAUACCGUAUGUUGUCCAUUGACGGCAUCCGAUUUGGACGAAAGGUUUGGCGGUGAAGGAUGGGGAUGCGUCCGAUUAGCUUGACGGCGGGGUAACGGCCCACCGUGGCGACGAUCGGUAGGGGUUCUGAGAGGAAGGUCCCCCACACUGGAACUGAGACACGGUCCAGACUCCUACGGGAGGCAGCAGUGAGGAAUAUUGGUCAAUGGGCGUAAGCCUGAACCAGCCAAGUAGCGUGCAGGAUGACGGCCCCAUGGGUUGUAAACUGCUUUUAUGCGGGGAUAAAGGAGCCCACGUGUGGGUUUUUGCAGGUACCGCAUGAAUAAGGACCGGCUAAUUCCGUGCCAGCAGCCGCGGUAAUACGGAAGGUCCGGGCGUUAUCCGGAUUUAUUGGGUUUAAAGGGAGCGUAGGCCGCGCCUUAAGCGUGUUGUGAAAUCCGGGUGCUCAACAUCCGGCUUGCAGCGCGAACUGGGGCGCUUGAGUGCGCAGAAAGUAGGCGGAAUUCGUGGUGUAGCGGUGAAAUGCUUAGAUAUCACGAGGAACUCCGAUUGCGAAGGCAGCCUACUGUAGCGCUACUGACGCUGAUGCUCGAAAGCGUGGGUAUCGAACAGG
rnacentral:rRNA from 1 species